CGAUCUUCUAUUAGACUGUUGUUUAGCUCUUUCUAUCUAUUUUUCCUUAUCUUUGUCCUUUUUCUUUGGGUUGCUUUUCGUGCUUCUAAUUUCUGCUUCAACCGUCCAUGAUAAGCAUAAUCAAAGACAAUUUUAGAAGAGUCUUCAAACACUCUUUGCCGUCUGCCAUAGACAUAAUGCUAACAGUGACUCAACUUUUUACGUAUUUAUUGCAUGUAAGACUCAACUCUUUCCCCCUUCUCAAUUCAAUAUUUUCUUUGUUGCGCUACUAUUUUAUCUGUUCCGAUGCCAUAUAUAAAUGUUAGUUAGUGUUGGGUGUUAAUUUGAGUUCUUUUCCUCCAUUUUCAUGUGUUUUCUUUCUUACAGUUUUUUUUAAAUAUUUUUCCCCUUUUGGUUACCCGAUUUUAUACAUACAUAUUCUGAUUUACGGCCUUUUAAGUUGGUCUUGAGAUUACUGAGAAAUUAUGGAUUACAAAUAUUUUGUGGUCUCAGUUUGUGCAUCCUUCCAGUUUGUGCAAGGAUUGCAAGGUUAUUCCGGGAGAGUCUCUUUCAACUCUUCAUAGGCUCCUA
rnacentral:lncRNA from 1 species